rnacentral:rRNA from 1 species
AACGAACGCUGGCGGCAGGCCUAACACAUGCAAGUCGAACGCCGUAGCAAUACGGAGUGGCAGACGGGUGAGUAACACGUGGGAACGUACCCUUCGGUUCGGGAUAACUCAGGGAAACUUGAGCUAAUACCGGAUACGUCCGAGAGGAGAAAGAUUUAUCGCCGAGGGAUCGGCCCGCGUCUGAUUAGCUUGUUGGUGAGGUAACGGCUCACCAAGGCGACGAUCAGUAGCUGGUCGAGAGGAUGAUCAGCCACAUUGGGACUGAGACACGGCCCAAAACUCCUACGGGAGGCAGCAGUGGGGAAUAUUGGACAAUGGGCGCAAGCCUGAUCCAGCCAUGCCGCGUGAGUGAUGAAGGCCCUAGGGUUGUAAAGCUCUUUUACCCGGGAAGAUAAUGACUGUACCGGGAGAAUAAGCCCCGGCUAACCUUCGUGCCAGCAGCCGCAGUAAU